GGUCUGAGUUCUUAAACUUGCUGUGCUGCCCCGUCUGGCCUCGAAUGCAUGGGCAGGGUUGAUCCUCCUGCCUCAGCCUCUGGAGUAGCAGGGGCAAGAAGUGCACUCUACACCAAAGUACUGUGGGAAGGAGCGGAUUCCCUGGGGAGCGCAGAGCCUAGGACUGAUUUCCUCGGUCUGUGUCUGGCUGCAGAGUCACGAGGGCAGCUGAGAGGUUCCGGAGCAGUGCGGGGCGGCACAGCUGCCUGGGGAGCGGCAGGGACGAGAUGGCCCUGGGAGGACAGCAGCAGGGGACAGACCGUGACUGCACCUGGGUCCCAUGGGUGCGGGUGAGAGGCCGGUGGCCGCUGUGCACAGAGGUCUGGAGUCCGGCUGUGCUGUCUGUGUCCCUCCUCUGCAGCUGCUUCGUCCUGAGCUCUGUGGGUGAGUUCUGUGCCCCUGUGGGGCAGCCCGGGUCUUCUUCGGAGAUUUCCUGGAGAAGUGGGUUCCUGACCUGACACACUUGCUCCUGCAUCCCAGACGCGCGCUUGUCAUGGAAGGCACGGUGCCCCUGGUGCCGUGAUGUGGGCCGCUGUGUGGCCCUGGCUGCCCGGCCCCAGUGCGG
rnacentral:lncRNA from 1 species